CCUUCUCAAAUACAUGUAUUUGGUUGUGAGUGAUACUCUUUUGAGUUAGCUUGAAAUUGCUGGCCGUACAGUGUCUCUUUGCAAAUGAAAUUUCCUUUUUGGAAUGGAAUUUGUCGUAUUAGGUUUUACCAACUACGGUUAUGUUCUGUGUCAUUGGGAAAGNGAGUUUCAUUGGGCUCUUGGCGAACAAUACUCUUUAAGU
rnacentral:rRNA from 1 species